CGGUAAUUCCAGCUCCAAUAGCGUAUACUAAAGUUGUUGCAGUUAAAAAGCUCGUAGUUGGAUUUCUGCGGGGACGGAGCGGCCGGUCGCAACUUGCGACUCGAGCUAGCGCUUUCCCCGCAUCCUGCCGCGAACCGUGCUACCAUUAGUUUGGUGGCGCUGGGGAUCGGCUCGAUUACUUUGAGAAAAAUAGAGUGUUCAAAGCAGGCCACACGCCUUGAAUAAGUUAGCAUGGAAUAAUGACUAAGGACUUUGGUUCUUUUCGUUGGUGUUCGGGACUGAAGUAAUGAUUGAUAGGGACAGUUGGGGCGGUCCGUAUUCCAAAGCGAGAGGUGAAAUUCUUAGACCUUCGGAAGACGAACAGCUGCGAAAGCGUUCCGCAAGGAUGUUCCCUUUGAUCAAGAACGAAAGUUGGGGGAUCGAAGACGAUCAGAUACCGUCGUAGUCUCAACUAUAAACUAUACCAGCUAGGGAUCGGCCAACGUUUAAUUUAUCGACUUGGUCGGCACCUUAUGAGAAAUCAAAGCAUCUGGGUUCCGGGGGGAGUAUGGUCGCAAGGCUGAAACUUAAAGGAAUUGACGGAAGGGCACCACCAGCCGUGGAGCCUGUGGCUUAAUUUGACUCAACACGGGAAAACUUACCAGGUCCAGACAUAGGAAGGAUUGACAGAUUGAUAGCUCUUUCUUGAUUCUGUGGGUGGUGGUGCAUGGCCGUUUUUAGUCGGUGGAUGUGAUCUGUCUGCUUAAUUGCGUUAACGGACGAGACCCCAGCCUGCUAAAUAGCGCGGCCGAGCUUUGCUCGGUGCGAGCUUCUUAGAGGGACCAUGAUGCGCGAUAGCACAAGGAAGUUUGGGGCAACAACAGGUCUGUGAUGCCCUUAGAUGUUCUGGUCCGCACACGGGCUACACUGGCGCCUGCAACGAGCAUAUCAGCUGGCCCGAGAGGGUCUUGGCUAAUCUUUGGAACCGGCGCCGUGCUUGGGAUUGACCAUUGCAAUUGUUGGUCAUGCAACGAGGAAUGCCUUGUAAACGCGAGUCAUCAGCUCGCAUUGAAUACGUCCCUGCCCUUUGUACACACCGCCCGUCGCUCCUACCGAUGAAUGUUCCGAUGAAAUUUUCGGAGAGCACCAGAGAACGGGGCUCCGCCUUGCAGAUCUGGAGGCUCAAAGUCACUUAAAUCUGAACAUUUCGAGGAAGGAGAAGUCGUAACAAGGUAACC
rnacentral:rRNA from 1 species